rnacentral:sRNA from 1 species
AUGGGUGACUAGUGGCAGAGUGAGGGAGGGAAGGGGUGACUAGUGACAGAGUGAGGGGAUGACUGGUGACAGAGUGAGGGAGGGGUGACUGUCACUAGUCACCCCAUCCCUCUCUCUGUCACUAGUUACUCCCUCCCUAACUCUGUCACUGUGUCACCCGCUCCCUCACUCUGUCACUAGUCACCCCAUUACUCUGUCACUGUGUUACCCCCUCCCUCUGUCACUAAUCACCCCCUCUCUCCCUAGUCACCCCCUUCCUCACUCUGUCACUAGUCACCCCAU